rnacentral:rRNA from 1 species
GACGAACGCUGGCGGCGCGCUUAACACAUGCAAGUCGAGCGAGAACCCUGGAGCUUGCUCCGGGGGGACAGCGGCGAACGGGUGAGUAACACGUGAGGAACCUGCCCCGAAGACCGGGAUAACACCGGGAAACCGGUGCUAAUACCGGAUGCCCUCACCGGACCGCAUGAUCUGGUGAGGAAAUGGAUUCCGCUUCGGGAUGGCCUCGCGGCCUAUCAGCUUGUUGGUGGGGUAACGGCCUACCAAGGCUCCGACGGGUAGCUGGUCUGAGAGGAUGUCCAACCACAAUGGGACUGAGACACGGCCCAGACUCCUACGGGAGGCAGCAGUGGGGAAUCUUGCGCAAUGGGCGAAAGCCUGACGCAGCGACGCCGCGUGCGGGAUGACGGCCUUCGGGUUGUAAACCGCUUUCAGCAGGGACGAUUGUGACGGUACCUGCAGAAGAAGCCCCGGCCAACUACGUGCCAGCAGCCGCGGUAA